rnacentral:rRNA from 1 species
CACGUAGGGUGCGAGCGUUGUCCGGAAUUAUUGGGCGUAAAGAGCUCGUAGGCGGUGUGUCGCGUCGGCCGUGAAAACCUGCAGCUUAACUGUGGGCGUGCGGUCGAUACGGGCAUCACUGGAGUUCGGCAGGGGAGACUGGAAUUCCUGGUGUAGCGGUGAAAUGCGCAGAUAUACGGAGGAACACCAGCGGCGAAGGCGGGUAGCUGGGCCAACACUGACGCUGAUGUGCGAAAGCUAGGGGAGCAAACGGG